AAAACUCACGCAUGCGCUAUGUAAAUUUCGUCUCAUAAAAUCGCGUGAGACAUAAAGAUAUUAAUUUUAUUUGU